rnacentral:rRNA from 1 species
CCUACGGGAGGCAGCAGUGGGGAAUAUUGGACAAUGGGCGCAAGCCUGAUCCAGCCAUGCCGCGUGUGUGAAGAAGGCCUUCGGGUUGUAAAGCACUUUUAUCCGGAAAGAAAAGCUUUGGGUUAAUACCCUGAAGUCAUGACGGUACCGGAAGAAUAAGCACCGGCUAACUUCGUGCCAGCAGCCGCGGUAAUACGAAGGGUGCAAGCGUUACUCGGAAUUACUGGGCGUAAAGCGUGCGUAGGUGGUUUGUUAAGUCUGAUGUGAAAGCCCUAGGCUCAACCUGGGAAUUGCAUUGGAUACUGGCAGGCUAGAGUGCGGUAGAGGAUAGUGGAAUUCCCGGUGUAGCAGUGAAAUGCGUAGAGAUCGGGAGGAACAUCUGUGGCGAAGGCGACUAUCUGGGCCAGCACUGACACUGAGGCACGAAAGCGUGGGGAGCAAACAGGAUUAGAUACCCUGGUAGUCCACGCCCUAAACGAUGCGAACUGGAUGUUGGGUGCAACUAGGCACUCAGUAUCGAAGCUAACGCGUUAAGUUCGCCGCCUGGGGAGUUACGGUUCGCAAGACUGAAACUUCAAAGGAUUGACGGCUUGAGACGNGCGAGCGACGACGAGGGAGGAGG